CUUUACCGACGGUUACAGAAAGGUAAACCAGGUGAAAGUUAACAACCUUUGAUUAAAAAUGAGCCAAGUAUCAAACAUUUAGAUGCGGGCAUUGUCAUGGCACGACGACAACUGUGAAUGGACACAUCUCUGGAAGAAGAAACGGAACUGUGAAGCUUGAAACACUCUGCUCACCUGCCGUUUGAAACGGAGAGAAGAGAGGACAUGAAGGACGUCUGUCAACAAGCAAACAAAAAGACUGUCAAAACAACAAGUGCAGUGGGACAUUCAUUCAUUCAUUCAUGAAACUUCAUUUCUGUGAAAGACGAGAACAUGGACUUCAAAAACGUGCACCUGUGCUGUCUUGGAGAAGGAAUCCAUGCUCAAAAAUGUGCACAAUCCAGCUCUGCAGUUCGGAAUCUUCCUGGACCUCAGCAUCACUCUUGUAGCAGUGUUGGAGCAGUCCCUGCACAAACCUAUAAGACACAUUGAUAUGGUUUAUAAUAUCACAUUCUUACUUA